rnacentral:ncRNA from 1 species
AAAGAUAGAGGAGCAAAUGAUAAGAGUAAAAUUAUUUUAGUUUGACAAACGGAGAAUAAUUUGAAAGGAGAUUUUGCCGAAAUAAAAAUGAAAGUCAAAACAUUUUUAUUGGUAAAUUAGAUAAUAUCUAUUUUACUGUCAUUGAAAUUUCAAUGGAGGGCUAUCAA